rnacentral:rRNA from 1 species
GUUUAUAGCCAUGCCACCCUGAAUGUGUCUGUUCUCAGAAGCUAAGCAAGGUUGGGCCUAGUUAGUACUUGGAUGGGAGACUAUCUAGGAAUGCCAGGAGCUGUAGAAA